AAGACUAAACAAGCUUUUUCUUGCUUCUCAAAGCUUUGAUGGUGUAGCCAAAGUCCGUAUGAGUCUUUGGCUUUGUAUCUUCAUACAAGGAAACACUACUUAGGCUUUGAAGAUCAGAAUGUUGUUCUAGUUCUAAUACUCAAUCAUACACAUGACAUCUAGUCAUAUUUGACUCCAUAACAUUAAACAAGAUUCAUUUUAAUUCUCAAUACUUUGAUGGUGUAGCCGAAUUCCAUAUGAUUCUUUGGCUUUGUAUCU
rnacentral:sRNA from 1 species